CACACAACUCUCGGCAACGGAUAUCUCGGCUCUCGCAUCGAUGAAAAACGUAGCGAAAUGCGAUACCUGGUGUGAAUUGCAAAAUCCCGCGAACCAUCGAGUCUUUGAACGCAAGUUGCGCCCGAGGCCAUUCGGCCGAGGGCACGCCUGCCUGGGCGUCACGC
rnacentral:rRNA from 1 species